CCUACGGGGCGCAGCAGUGAGGAAUAUUGGUCAAUGGUCGGGAGACUGAACCAGCCAAGCCGCGUGAGGGAUGAAGGUACAGAGUAUCGUAAACCUCUUUUGUCAGGGAACAAAGGCGGGGACGCGUCCCCGGAUGAGUUUACCUGAAGAAAAAGCAUCGGCUAACUCCGUGCCAGCAGCCGCGGUAAUACGGGGGAUGCGAACGUUAUCCGGAUUUAUUGGGUUGAAAGGGUGCGCGGGCGGUCUGUUAAGUCAGCGGUAAAAGCCCGGGGCUCAACCCCGGCCCGCCGUUGAAACUGGCAGUCUCGAGUUGGAGAGAAGUAUGCGGAAUGCGCGGUGUAGCGGUGAAAUGCAUAGAUAUCGCGCAGAACUCCGAUUGCGAAGGCAGCAUGCCGGCUCCACACCGACGCCGAGGCACGAAAGCGUGGGUAUCGAACAGGAUUAGAUACCCUGGUAGUC
rnacentral:rRNA from 1 species